rnacentral:rRNA from 1 species
UACGUAGGGGGCAAGCGUUAUCCGGAAUCAUUGGGCGUAAAGCGCGUGUAGGCGGUUCCGUAAGUCCGCUCUGAAAGCCCAGGGCUCAACCCUGGGAGGCGGGUGGAUACUACGGAACUGGAGUACGGAAGAGGAGAUUGGAAUUCCUGGUGUAGCGGUGAAAUGCGCAGAUAUCAGGAGGAACACCAACAGCGAAGGCAGAUCUCUGGGACGUUACUGACACUGAGGCGCGAAAGCGUGGGGAGCGAACAGG